ACAAGGUAGUUUAAUGAAAACUUCUAUUUUACACGUAGGAAAUGGCUGUUAGCCUAUUGUUAA
rnacentral:tRNA from 1 species